rnacentral:sRNA from 1 species
GAACCGGAGUGUGCCUGCACGCGCAAGGUCAUGGAUAUUGGACGGGCGAGCCAGUAUGAGUAAGUAGGGCGACAGCCCGGAUUACGAAUACUGGCGGCGGUUGCGGGAGCACGAAGUGCGGAGCAAUCGGC